AUUAUUAACUAAUGCAUAAAAGAAAUAAAGUAAGUAAGUAAAACAAAAAGAAGAAGAACAGAAAAGAAACAGAGAAAGAGACGAAAACAGGGGAAGAAAAAGGGAAAGAAAAGAAAGAGGGAAAAUUGAGAUUUUGAAGCUUGAAGUUUAAUAGGUAAGCUAAAUCAAGUCCUUUUCUCAUAAAUUUGAUGUUUUUAAGAACCCUAGAGUGAAAUACUCUUGGAUUUAAGUUGAAAAUUUGUAAGUUAAUAGAUUUUUGAGUAGGGUUUAUGUUGAAUAAAUGAUGGAAUUGAGGUUUUAUUUGAUAGAAUUUCUAGUUAGAGUUGAUAAAAGGAUUAAAUUGUGAAGUAAGCUAUAAGUUUUAUGUUUGUAGGGAUUAAAUUGAGAAAAAUUCGAAAUUAAUGAAAUAUGCUGAAAAUUUGGUAGUUAAAUUUGAGUUUAGAAUAAAUUUGAAUAGAAAUAGAGUGUGAAUUAAAUUAAAAAAGUAAAUAAAUUUAGUUAGGAUUAAAUUGGAAUUAAAGUAUAAAUUAGAUAGAAAUAUUAUUAUUAUAAAUUAAUGUUGUAAUUGAUGGUGUAAAUUAUUACUAUUUUCGUAGCUAACAAGGAACUCGAGGCAUCGGCACACAAAGGAAACGAGAAGGUUAUUGAGGAAUAAUCGAGCAAAAUUCGGGUUUGUGUUACUAUAAUUCAAAUUAUUUAUUAUUUGAUGUUAAAUUUAAAUUGUGUGUAUGGUAAGCAUAUGAUAAGGUAAGUGACUUUAUUGAAUUGAAUUUGGAAAAAAAAUUAAAUUGAAUGAGAAAAGUAUGUGUUGGUAUUGAACUGUGUUUAAUUAGUGAAUGGAAAAAGUAUAAUUGAUAUUGAAAAUGAAUUUUUUGAAAUAAAAGUGAAUUAGAUUGUGAAAUUUAUAUACCCUAUUAACUAGUCGGGCUGAGUCGGAUAUAAUUGGCAUGCCAUAGGAUUUAGAAGAGUACGGGAUUUAUCAGCUUUGCCGAUCAGACACUUUAUGUGUCGUAUCUCAGGCACUUUAUGUGUCGUAUCAGGCACCUCGUGUGUCGUUUCAGGCACUUAUGUGUCGUUUACUGAUCAUGUACUAUGUACCGUUUUAGGCACAAUGUGCCGUAUUGGUGUGUUUGGGUUGGAAUCCGUGUAUCCGUCAAAGUCCAGAUUGUUAAUAGGGUGAAUAAUUGAAAUAAGAAAAUUUAAAAUUGUGGAUUAAAAUUUGAGAUUGAAAAUGAAAGGCAUGAAUUUAAUGUUUAUGUAGUGAUUGAAAUUAUUACAUGUGAUAUAUGAUUGAAAUUGAAGAAUAACUAAAAAUUGUAUUGUUAUUGUUAGUUAAUGAAAGUUUAUAAAUUAAUUGAUAUUUAAGAAAUCGGAUAGUUACAUGCUUGGUAAUUAUAAUUCUUUGUUGUUAUUAUAAUUUGAAUUAUGGUAAUACCACUGAGUAUACAAAACUCAGCGUACAGUUGUUUCCGUGCGCAGGUUGAAAAGGGAUCAGAGUCUCGGUUCAGCAUCCAGGACAAUCCCGACUCCGACAUAAAGAUUUUGGUGAUGUUUUCUUCCUUUAAGAGAAAGUGGCAUGUACAUAAGAAUUAUAAUAGUUAUUUUGGUAUGUUGUAUAGUUUUAUUGUAAAGUAAGAUAUUAUGUAUUUUGAUGAUUAUAUUAGCAAAUUGGUAGAAGUCCUUUAUGGCAUUGGUAUCGAAUUGAAAUGACUUGAUUAGUUUUAUGUGUUAAUUAGAAAAGAUAAUAGGUUUUUUAUUAAAUAAGUUGUUAUGUCAAUAUGUCAAGUAAGAUUUAAGUAUAUAAAUGCCUUGGUUGAAAUACUGGAAUUGGGUUGGUUAUGUUUGAAAUUUUGCAAGGGGUUGUAUGUAAAAAUAAGCAGAAAUGUUGCCGAAAUUUUUAUAAAAAAAAUGAAUGAAGUCAAUUAAUAAAAUUUAUAUGAAUUAUUUGUAAAUUGUUUGAUAUGUCAUGUAAUGUCUCGUAACCCUGUUUCGACGACGGUUUGGGGUUAGGGGGUGUUACAGAAACUAUAACUUAUGCUAUUGGAAUGGCCUUAGAUCAGGAAAGCAAGCACAGCCAAACAUCCGAAGCAGA
rnacentral:lncRNA from 1 species